UGGUUUUUAAAAGGUAUCACAGAAAUAAGAAAAGCACGGAAAGGGUAUGCUCAGGAGGCAAUGCAGGUUUUAAUUCUUUCAACUGCACUUGGAUUUGGAAGUUGUUCCUGUCCUUGGAGGGGACUCGACUGAGAGAACAACAUCCUGUCACUGUAUGGCUAAGGACUGGUGAACCUGUCUUUGGCCUGAUCUAUCGUGAUGAAUCCAAGACAGAACCACAGCUAUGGAAAGCUAGAAUACACACACAGAGAGAGAGAGAGAGAGAGAGAGAGGCAGACACAUAGGCAGAU